rnacentral:lncRNA from 1 species
UCGACUCCAAGGCAGCUCUACAUCAAAAAAACAGAAGACAGUGUUUCGGAAACUGAGAGCCGAGUCGACUCCGGGGAAGUUCGAGUCGACUCCAAGACUGGACGAGGCAAAAGACAGAAGAUAGGGAGUUCGGGCUCUGAGCGCCGAGUCGACUCCCAGGAUUGUCGAGUCGACUCGAGUGGACCAAAUUCAAAAAUAGAUCCACGGACUCCAUGGGAUGAGCCGACUCCGAG